GAUGAAGAACGUAGCGAAAUGCGAUACGUAAUGUGAAUUGCAGAAUUCAGUGAAUCAUCGAGUCUUUGAACGCACAUUGCGCCCCCUGGUAUUCCGGGGGGGCAUGCCUGUCCGAGCGUCAUUGCUGCCCUCAAGCACGGCUUGUGUGUUGGGCCUCCGUCCUCCUCCCGGGGGACGGGCCCGAAAGGCAGCGGCGGCACCGCGUCCGGUCCUCGAGCGUAUGGGGCUUCGUCACCCGCUCUUGUAGGCCCGGUCGGCGCUUGCCGACACAUCAAUCUUUUUUCCAGGUUGACCUCGGAUCAGGUAGGGAUACCCGCUGAACUUAAGCAUAUCAAUAAGCGGAGGA
rnacentral:misc_RNA from 1 species